rnacentral:rRNA from 1 species
GGUGAGUAACACGUAUCCAACCUGCCGUCUACUCUUGGCCAGCCUUCUGAAAGGAAGAUUAAUCCAGGAUGGGAUCAUGAGUUCACAUGUCCGCAUGAUUAAAGGUAUUUUCCGGUAGACGAUGGGGAUGCGUUCCAUUAGAUAGUAGGCGGGGUAACGGCCCACCUAGUCAACGAUGGAUAGGGGUUCUGAGAGGAAGGUCCCCCACAUUGGAACUGAGACACGGUCCAAACUCCUACGGGAGGCAGCAGUGAGGAAUAUUGGUCAAUGGGCGAUGGCCUGAACCAGCCAAGUAGCGUGAAGGAUGACUGCCCUAUGGGUUGUAAACUUCUUUUAUAAAGGAAUAAAGUCGGGUAUGCAUACCCGUUUGCAUGUACUUUAUGAAUAAGGAUCGGCUAACUCCGUGCCAGCAGCCGCGGUAAUACGGAGGAUCCGAGCGUUAUCCGGAUUUAUUGGGUUUAAAGGGAGCGUAGAUGGAUGUUUAAGUCAGUUGUGAAAGUUUGCGGCUCAACCGUAAAAUUGCAGUUGAUACUGGAUGUCUUGAGUGCAGUUGAGGCAGGCGGAAUUCGUGGUGUAGCGGUGAAAUGCUUAGAUAUCACGAAGACUCCGAUUGCGAAGGCAGC